AGACGGGGGGUGCUAGCGUUGCUCGGAAUUACUGGGCGUAAAGGGUGCGUAGGCGGUCCCUCAAGUCUGGCGUGAAAGCCCAGGGCUCGCCCCUGGAAGUGCGUUAGAAACUGAGAGACUUGAGUAUCGGAGGGGAGAGUGGAAUUCCCGGUGUAGCGGUGAAAUGCGUAGAUAUCGGGAGGAAUACCGGUGGCGAAGGCGACUCUCUGGACGAUUACUGACGCUGAGGCACGAAAGCGUGGGGAGCAAACAGGAUUAGAUACCCCAGUAGUCC
rnacentral:rRNA from 1 species